GACAACUCCCCAACUGCAGCCGCCAUGACAGUUCUUACUGCGCCACGUGAUUUUUGAGCAAUGCGUCAAGCAUAGAAUGAAAGCAAUUACUGGAAAUCGAGAGUUACAUGGGAGGAAAAUUAAAAGAAGAGAGUAUCAUCCAAUAAGAGUCGAUACAAGAGGAUGAAAAAGGGUAUCCCAAGAGGAUUGGAGAAAUGGUAUGGAAAACGAACAGAAAGAUGAGAGAGAAUUCGGCUAAUUGUUGCUUAAAUUUCAUUAUUGAGGAAAGAAACGAGAGGAAAUUUCCAGGGCUCUGCCUAUUUUAUUCAAUAACAGGGAUUGUCAAGUACAGUACAAAAAAUUUUUACUCCUACUGUGAGCAGCGAAAAUAAAUGUUGAAAUUUUA